rnacentral:rRNA from 1 species
GAUGAACGCUGGCGGCGUGCCUAAUACAUGCAAGUCGAGCGAACAGACGAGGAGCUUGCUCCUCUGACGUUAGCGGCGGACGGGUGAGUAACACGUGGAUAACCUACCUAUAAGACUGGGAUAACUUCGGGAAACCGGAGCUAAUACCGGAUAAUAUAUUGAACCGCAUGGUUCAAUAGUGAAAGACGGUUUUGCUGUCACUUAUAGAUGGAUCCGCGCCGCAUUAGCUAGUUGGUAAGGUAACGGCUUACCAAGGCGACGAUGCGUAGCCGACCUGAGAGGGUGAUCGGCCACACUGGAACUGAGACACGGUCCAUACUCCUACGGGAAGCAGCAGUAGGGAAUCUUCCGCAAUGGGCGAAAGCCUGAAGGAGCAACGCCGCGUGAGUGAUGAAGGUCUUCGGAUCGUAAAACUCUGUUAUUAGGGAAGAACAAAUGUGUAAGUAACUAUGCACGUCUUGACGGUACCUAAUCAGAAGGCCACGGCUAACUACGUG